GAGCUCAGUUGGUUAGAGUGUGGUGCUGAUAACGCCAAGGUUGUAGGUACGAUCUCCUUAGGAGACA